rnacentral:rRNA from 1 species
AUAAUGGGUCAGCGACUUAUAUUCUGUAGCAAGGUUAACCGAAUAGGGGAGCCGAAGGGAAACCGAGUCUUAACUGGGCGUUAAGUUGCAGGGUAUAGACCCGAAACCCGGUGAUCUAGCCAUGGGCAGGUUGAAGGUUGGGUAACACUAACUGGAGGACCGAACCGACUAAUGUUGAAAAAUUAGCGGAUGACUUGUGGCUGGGGGUGAAAGGCCAAUCAAACCGGGAGAUAGCUGGUUCUCCCCGAAAGCUAUUUAGGUAGCGCCUCGUGAAUUCAUCUCCGGGGGUAGAGCACUGUUUCGGCAAGGGGGUCAUCCCGACUUACCAACCCGAUGCAAACUGCGAAUACCGGAGAAUGUUAUCACGGGAGACACACGGCGGGUGCUAACGUCCGUCGUGAAGAGGGAAACAACCCAGACCGCCAGCUAAGGUCCCAAAGUCAUGGUUAAGUGGGAAACGAUGUGGGAAGGCCCAGACAGCCAGGAUGUUGGCUUAGAAGCAGCCAUCAUUUAAAGAAAGCGUAAUAGCUCACUGGUCGAGUCGGCCUGCGCGGAAGAUGUAACGGGGCUAAACCAUGCACCGAAGCUGCGGCAGCGACGCUU